rnacentral:rRNA from 1 species
UACCUGCAGCUCAAGUAGUGAUCGCUAUUAUUGGGCCUAAAACGUUCGUAGCCGGUUUGGUAAAUGCCUGGGUAAAUAGUGUAGCUUAACUAUACGAAUUCCGGGUAGACUGUCAAACUUGAGACCGGGAGAAGCUAGAGGUACUCCUGGGGUAGAGGUGAAAUUCUGUAAUCCUGAGGGGACCACCAGUGGCGAAGGCGUCUAGCUAGAACGGGUCUGACGGUGAGGAACGAAGCCCUGGGGCGCGAACCGGAUUAGAUACCCGGGUAGUCCAGGGUGUAAACGCUGCUUGCUUGAUGUUAGUUGGGCUCCGAGCCCAAUUAGUGUCGGAGAGAAGUUGUUAAGCAAGCUGCCUGGGAAGUACGAUCGCAAGUUUGAAACUUAAAGGAAUUGGCGGGGGAGCACAGCAACGGGUGGAGCGUGCGGUUU